UAAUACAUGCAAGUCGAACGAGGUAGCAAUACCUAGUGGCGCACGGGUGAGUAACGCGUGGAUAAUCUGCCCUCUAGUGGGGAAUAACCAUCCGAAAGGAUGGCUAAUACCGCAUGAGGCCACAGUUCCUACGGGAACAGGGGUUAAAGAUUUAUCGCUAGAGGAUGAGUCUGCGUGGGAUUAGCUAGUUGGUGGGGUAAUGGCCCACCAAGGCAACGAUCUCUAACUGGUCUGAGAGGAUGGCCAGUCACACUGGAACUGAGACACGGUCCAGACUCCUACGGGAGGCAGCAGUAGGGAAUAUUGCGCAAUGGGGGAAACCCUGACGCAGCGACGCCGCGUGAGUGAUGAAGGCCUUAGGGUCGUAAAGCUCUGUUGAAUGGGAAGAAAAAAAUGACGGUACCAUUCGAGGAAGGACCGGCUAACUUCGUGCCAGCAGCCGCGGUAAGACGAGGGGUCCUAGCGUUGUUCGGAAUCAUUGGGCGUAAAGCGUGUGUAGGCGGCCUUGCAAGUCAGUUGUGAAAGCCCCGGGCUUAACCCGGGAAGUGCUUCUGAUACUGCUUGGCUUGAGUACUGGAGAGGAUAGUGGAAUUCCAGGUGUAGUGGUGAAAUACGUAGAUAUCUGGAGGAACACCGGUGGCGAAGGCGGCUAUCUGGCCAUGUACUGACGCUGAGACACGAAAGCGUGGGGAGCAAACAGGAUUAGAUACCCUGGUAGUCCACGCCGUAAACGAUGGGUACUUGGUGUUGGAGGUAUUGACCCCUUCAGUGCCGAAGCUAACGCGUUAAGUACCCCGCCUGGGGAGUACGGCCGCAAGGUUAAAACUCAAAGGAAUUG
rnacentral:rRNA from 1 species